GACAGAGGGGGCAAGCGUUGCUCGGAAUUACUGGGCGUAAAGGGCGCGUAGGCGGUCUUGCAAGUCCUGUGUGAAAUCCCUCGGCUCAACUGAGGAACUGCACAGGAAACUGCUUGGCUUGAGUUCGGGAGAGGGAAGCGGAAUUCCGGGUGUAGCGGUGAAAUGCGUAGAUAUCCGGAGGAACACCGGUGGCGAAGGCGGCUUCCUGGACCGACACUGACGCUGAGGCGCGAAAGCGUGGGGAGCAAACAGG
rnacentral:rRNA from 1 species